CUCUGUUUUAGUUCAUAACAAUUGGUUUCUAAGAACUUAGGCAUUUGUGGAGACAAAGAUAUCACUGUAUGAACUGCCAUAUAAGGACAGGGGCGUCCCUCCUCCUCUGCUCCUGUUCACAAGGACCCUGAACUGGCAAAGCUCCCAUCCUGCCCUGAGCCUGCCAUGGGCACCAGGCUCCUCUGCUGGGCGGCCCUCUGUCUCCUGCGGGCAGAACUCACAGAAGCUGGAGUUGCCCAGUCCCCCAGAUAUAAGAUUACAGAGAAAAGCCAGGCUGUGGCUUUUUGGUGUGAUCCUAUAUCUGGUCAUGCUACUCUUUACUGGUACCGGCAGAUCCUGGGACAGGGCCCGGAGCUUCUGGUUCAGUUUCAGAAUGACGGUGUAGUAGAUGAUUCACAGUUGCCUAAGGAUCGAUUUUCUGCAGAGAGGCUCAAAGGAGUAAACUCCACUCUCAGGAUCCAGCCUGCAGAGCUUGGGGACUCGGCCGUAUAUCUCUGUGCCAGCAGCUUAGCCACAGCAGUGCAGAGACACUUCCCUCCUGUGCACAAAACUGCAGGGCUCUCUCCUCUCUCCUCAGCUCACAGCGGCCUUUCCUUAUUCCUCAUCCUCCCAGGGAAGAAGCGAGUUUUCAGAUAUAGCUAGGAUUCAUAUAGUGGGAGGAAAUGAACUAUUUCUUAAAACAUGAGUGCUAUAAUUGUUGUUUGAAAAUGUGUCUCAGGGAUUUGAAAGACUUCUGGGUGGGAAUUCAAGAAACCAAAACUGAAAGUGAUUUAUCACAGACCUAGUCCUCAGGCGCAGUGAUGAUUGUUCUUCUAUAAAAAAUGUGUACAAUGC